AAAAAAAAAAACCUACCUGAAUGCUAGUUUUAGGGGUUUUUUUGUACUACAUUCUGUUCACAAUCUCAUGUAAUGUAACUUCAGGUCAUGGUAGAAUCUAGUAUUAUUUUUUUUCUUUUCUUUAUUUUACCAUAGAUAGAGGAGCAUAGGCAUGCAAACAGCUUUCCGAACAGAGUCAUUGGAUGUCAUCUUUGUUUAGGGAACAUUGGUUGUUUUUGCAUUGUUGCUCCACAAUGAGGGUUUUUUUCUGUCAUGGGUACAAAACUCCUCACUUGGUUUGCAGUUUGUCUCCUGCAUAUAUAUGAUGAUGUUUGCUCAGCAAUUUAGCUUAUAUUGAAUUUAUAUUUUGGAAUAGAAGAACAACACAGAAUUAGAGGUCUGUAUUUCAGACAUUUAAAUUUAGUCUAGAUGACUUCCACUUUGGAAGUUGCAACUACUGUCACAAGCAGCAAGCCAAAGGAGCACUGAAAUCUUAGGAGCAGCAGUUCUGUCUGAUAACCAAACUCUCUGGCACCCAUCUAAGGCUUGGUUGUGAGUGCUCUCUUCACUCAUCAUCAAUCAUCACAAGACACUGCAUACUAUAUGCCUGCCAAGACUCCAAGACUCCAAGCAGCCAAGUGAGAGAUAACUUUUAUAACUAAGUAACAGUCACAGUGAAGUCAGAAUCUUUUCACAGUGAACACCUGAGACCGAAUCAAAGACAGUAUCUAGCCUGUGCUGCACAGCUGUAAGAACACCGUGCAGUAUUUUGAAAGGAGACUGCACAAUAACAAUUCCAGUUAUCAAUUCCUUUUAAAGACUGUCUGCUAUUGUACUAAUUUUUUUUUUUUUUACUACUGUAGACGUGCUAUUGCUACUGACUUUAAAAAAUAUGAAAGCUUACAGCUCUCAAAAUCUGUAAUAGAGAAAGAAUAUGCAGUGACCCUAAUCUGUAAGCAAAGAUCAGGUUCACAAUCACCUGAAGAGCCUCAACAUCCAUAAGUCUGAGUCCUGAUGAGUUGCAUCUCAGAGUCCUGAGGGAAUUGGCUGAUGUAGUUGCCAAGACACUCUCAAUGAUACUUGAAAAGUCAUGGCAUCCACGUGAAGUCCCUAGUGACUGCAAAAAAGGCAAUGUCACAACCAUUUUUAAGAAGGGUAGAAAGGAUGACCCAGGGAACUACCGACCUGUCAGUAUCACCUAAGUGCGGGGCAGGUCACAGAGAAGAUCCUCUAGAUUCUAAGCUGAGGCAUAAGGAAGAAAGGGAAGUGAUAUGGGAUAAUCACCAUGGCUUCUCCAAGUGCAAGUCCUGCCUGACUAACCUAGGGGCCUUCUAUGGUGGCAAAACUGCGUUAGUGGACAAGGGAAGAGCCACUGAUGUCAUCUAUCUGGACUUCAGUAAGGCCUUUGACACAGUACCCCAUAACAUCCUUCUCUCCAAAUUGGAAAGACAGGUGGACCAAUUCUACAGAUGAGGAACUGGUUACAAGUCUGUACUGAGAGAGUGGUGGUCAGUGGCUCAAAGUCCAGGUGGAGGUCACUGACAAGUGAUGUUCCUCAGGGGUCAGUACUGGCACCAGUGCUCUUAAACAUCUUCAUCAGUGUCAUUGACAGUGGGAUCAAGUGCACCCUCAUCAAGGUUGCUGAAGACACCAUGCUGUGUGGUGUGACUGACAUGCCCAAGGGAUGGGAUACCAUCCAGAGAGACCUAGACAGUCUCGAGCCAUGGACCCAGGAGUCAUCCAGUUGCCAGCUGGGUCAUGGCAACCCUUGCUAUCAGUACAAACUGAAGGACAAAAGAAUUGAGUACAGCUGUGCCAAAAAGGACUUGGGGAUGCUGGUGGAUAGCAAGCUGGUCAUGAGCGAGCAAUGUGCAUCUGCAGUACGUAAAACCAAGCUGAUUCUGGGUUGUAUCAAAAGAAGCAUGGUCAGCACGUUGAGGGAGAUGAUCCUGCUCCUCUACUCUGCACUGGUGAGACUCCACUUGGAGUACUGCAUUCAAAUGAGGAGUUCUCAGUACAAGAGAGAUGUGGGCCUACUGGAGUGUGUCCAGAGCAGGGCCAUAAAAAUGAUCCAACGGAUUGAUCACCUCUCCUAUGGGAACAGGUUGAGAGAGCUGGGGCUGUUCAGCCUGGAGAAGGGAAGACUCUCAGAAAGACCUGAUAGUGGCCUUUCAGUAAAGGGAAGCUACAAAAAAGAAGAGGACACAUUCUUUAGCAAACUUUGUUAUGACAGGACAAGGGGAAACGGUUUAAAAUUAAAACAGGGGAGAUUUAGACUGGAUAUGAGGAAAAAAAUCUUUACACUAAGUGCAAUGAAUCCCUGGAACAAGUUGCUCAGAGAGAUAGUAGACGCCUCGUCCCUGGAGACAUUCAAGGACAGG
ensembl:lncRNA